rnacentral:rRNA from 1 species
AUUGAACGCUGGCGGCAUGCCUUACACAUGCAAGUCGAACGGCAGCACGGGAGCAAUCCUGGUGGCGAGUGGCGAACGGGUGAGUAAAGUAUCGGAACGUGCCCAGUCGUGGGGGAUAACGUAGCGAAAGUUACGCUAAUACCGCAUACGAUCUAUGGAUGAAAGCGGGGGAUCGCAAGACCUCGCGCGAUUGGAGCGGCCGAUAUCAGAGUAGGUAGUUGGUGGGGAAAAGGCUCACCAAGCCGACGAUCUGUAGCUGGUCUGAGAGGACGACCAGCCACACUGGGACUGAGACAAGGCCCAGACUCCUACGGGAGGCAGCAGUGGGGAAUUUUGGACAAUGGGCGAAAGCCUGAUCCAGCCAUGCCGCGUGCAGGAUGAAGGCCUUCGGGUUGUAAACUGCUUUUGUACGGAACGAAAAGGUUUGGCCUAAUAAGCUGAGCUCAUGACGGUACCGUAAGAAUAAGCACCGGCUAACUACGUGCCAGCAGCCGCGGUAA